rnacentral:lncRNA from 1 species
GUGUGUAUUUUUAGUAGAGACAGGGUUUCACCGUGUUCGCCAGGAUGGUCUCAAUCUCCUGACCUCGUGAUCUGCCCGCCUCGGCCUCCCAAAGUGCUGGAAUUACAGGCGUGAGCCACCGCGCCCGGCCACCCCUGACUAAUUUUUAUAUUUUUUGUAGAGACAGGAUUUCACCAUGUUACCCAAACUGGUCUCGAAAUCCUGAGCUCAAGGGAUCCGCUCACCUCCGUCUUCCAAAGUGCUGGGAUUACAGAUGUCAGCCACUGCACCCGGCCAUACUACUUAGGACUUUUGUAACCUGUGUUUGCCUUUACUAUGACCAUCUUUCAAAUUCAAUUUCAAUUUUUUGUAUAGAGUUGGUGUUUCAUCAUAUGAUGCCCUAAACUUUAUUUUCCCAGUACUCUAGUGGUGAAAAUUUAAUUCCUUUUAAUAUAGUUUCUAUUACAGACAAUAGUAUACUUAACACCAGCUUUUAUAUAUGCAGAUAUCUUUUAAAGCAUUUCUUUAUAAGCUCCUGAAGAGUCCUUUCAAAACCCUGGAAAUUAGAACAUUUUAUAUUAACAUAAUGGUUCAAAAUACUACUACUAAUUUACAUUCCUAAUGUAACCACAGAACCGUUCAAUAUGCUUUGACUUUGUAACAAAGUGAUGAGUUGUUUUUUAGAUGCAGUGGAUCCCCAGGUUGCAAGUCAUAUAACCUGAGCAUGCCCAGAUGAACCAAGUAUGCCUGAUUGGUGAACCUGGAACUGGCCAGAACAGAAAAUGUCAACCACAUGUGGAAUCUAAGUAUUCAGAUUGAGAAAUGAGGACCAAAAUGAGAACACUGAGCUCCUCACACAGGUGACUGAACCCGUGGUUUUGGUGUCUGAGAAGAUGCAGCUUCUCCAGUCUCUGCAACUGACGGCAGGAAGAUGGGAGCACUCAGCUUCAGUGUUCAGAAGCAGAUUUAGGCCAAUUGCCAUACCUUACGUUCUGGAGGGAUCCACCCUGACCUGAGCAGGGCACAAUUAUUUUAUCUUGGAACCAACAAUCUUCGGAGAAUGUAUCCCAAAGAUACAAUUCAAAAAGAUAAAAAGGCAGAAGCACAAGGUCAUUCUUGGCAGAACAAAUUGUAACAGCAGAAGACUGGAAAUAAGACAGAUGUCCACCAAUAAAGGACUGACUGAAUAAUCUAAGGUGCAUCUACAUCCUAGAUUUCAAUGCCGGUAUAACAAGCAAGGAAGAUUCCCUCUCUCUGCUGCUAUGUAGUGAUUUCCAGGAUAUACCAUUAAG